ACGGGUGAGUAACACGUGGAUAACCUACCUAUAAGACUGGGAUAACUUCGGGAAACCGGAGCUAAUACCGGAUAAUAUAUUGAACCGCAUGGUUCAAUAGUGAAAGACGGUUUUGCUGUCACUUAUAGAUGGAUCCGCGCCGCAUUAGCUAGUUGGUAAGGUAACGGCUUACCAAGGCAACGAUGCGUAGCCGACCUGAGAGGGUGAUCGGCCACACUGGAACUAAGACACGGUCCAGACUCCUACGGGAGGCAGCAGUAGGGAAUCUUCCGCAAUGGGCGAAAGCCUGACGGAGCAACGCCGCGUGAGUGAUGAAGGUCUUCGGAUCGUAAAACUCUGUUAUUAGGGAAGAACAAAUGUGUAAGUAACUAUGCACGUCUUGACGGUACCUAAUCAGAAAGCCACGGCUAACUACGUGCCAGCAGCCGCGGUAAUACGUAGGUGGCAAGCGUUAUCCGGAAUUAUUGGGCGUAAAGCGCGCGUAGGCGGUUUUUUAAGUCUGAUGUGAAAGCCCACGGCUCAACCGUGGAGGGUCAUUGGAAACUGGAAAACUUGAGUG
rnacentral:rRNA from 1 species